CGGACGGGUGAGUAAUGUCUGGGAAACCCCCGGAUGGAGGGGGAUAACUACUGGAAACGGUAGCUAAUACCGCAUAACGUCGCAAGACCAAAGAGGGGGACCUUCGGGCCUCUUGCCAUCGGAUGUGCCCAGAUGGGAUUAGCUAGUAGGUGGGGUAACGGCUCACCUAGGCGACGAUCCCUAGCUGGUCUGAGAGGAUGACCAGCCACACUGGAACUGAGACACGGUCCAG
rnacentral:rRNA from 1 species